rnacentral:rRNA from 1 species
GACGUAGGUGGCGAACGUUAUCCGGAAUUACUGGGCGUAAAGGGCGCGUAGGCGGCCAUCUAAGUCGGACGUGAAAUCCCUCGGCUUAACCGAGGAACUGCGUCCGAUACUGGAAGGCUUGAAUCCGGGAGAGGGAUGUGGAAUUCCAGGUGUAGCGGUGAAAUGCGUAGAUAUCUGGAGGAACACCGGUGGCGAAGGCGGCAUCCUGGACCGGCAUUGACGCUGAGGCGCGAAAGCUAGGGGAGCAAACGGGG